ensembl:lncRNA
GUGUUAAAAGGUGGGACACUGGGCUUCCAAAAUUAGCUGUGAAUUUUCAGUACCAUUUUAGAAGGCAAGCUGGAAGUUUAGGGGACUUCCUGGUGCUGGCACUUGGGUGGUUCGCACAAAUAGCCUCAUUUCAUAACCAGUGUCACCAAGUGUGAAAGAACUGUAAUAUUUCCACCUCACUGCCCUGAAGGGCCAGCCCUUUCCUUUUUUAGUGCUUUGGAAGCACUUUAAACAUAUUUAACUCUGACAGUAACCUGUGUUACAAAUAUUGGUGCUAUAUAUGUAUUUGUGUGUGAGUAUAUCUAUAUAUGUUUUAAUGGGUGUCCAUUCAAAAGCAGAGACAUUACUUUGCCAACAAAGGUCCGUCUAGUCAAGGCUAUGGUUUUUCCAGUGGUCAUGUAUGGGUGUGAGAGUUGGACUGUGAAGCUGAGCGCCGAAGAAUUGAUGCUUUUGAACCAUGGUGUUGGAGAAGACUCUUGAGAGUCCCUUGGACUGCAAGGAGGUCCAACCAGUCCAUUCUAGAGAUCAGCCCUGGGUGUUCUUUGGAAGGAAUGAUGCUAAAGCUGAAACUCCAGUACUUUGGCCACCUCAUGUGAAGAGUUGACUCACUGGAAAAGACUCUGAUGCUGGGAGGGAUUGGGGGCAGGAGGAGAAGGGGACGACAGAGGAUGAGAUGGCUGGAUGGCAUCACUGACUCGAUGGAUGUGAGUCUGAGUGAACUCCGGGAGUUGGUGAUGGAUAGGGAGGCCUGGUGCACUGUGAUUCAUGGGGUCGCAAAGAGUCGGACACAACUGAGCGACUGAACUGAACUGAUGCAUAUACGUUCAUAUUCCAUAUAUUUUUUCUUUUCCUGGACUAGAGUAAACAUUUCUCAAGACAGAGAUAACUUAUUUAUUUAUCUUUGUCACUCAAAAUCUCAUGGAGUGUCACUCCAAAAUCUCGUGAGCGUCUCAUAGAUGAUGUUCAGUCAGUGUUCACUGAGUGCCUUACAAAGUCAGCUUGGUUUGGUUCAUCUUCCUUUUACUCUGCCUCAUGCCCAAGGACCAGGAACUCUAGCCCCUGAAGGACCGAUGACCCCUCUAGCUGACUGUGUAUGGGGCCACAUAACUCAAGCUGAAACUGCCUUGCUGGCAGCUCCCUAAGACCCUGCAUUAGAAGAUCAGUCCCAUCUGACAGCAGUCUUAUAAAACAGCUCUAAAAAUCAUGGGUUCUGUCUUUAAGGGUCUUCAGUUUGGGUGACCGUCAACUCAAGAGGUUUCCUUGUUCUUCGUCUGAUUCAUGUUAGUCCCUUUCUUGCUGUAACUCCACCUUUACCCCUUUCUCCCUAAGAACUGUCUUGAACACCUUCCCAUUCCUUCUGUCCCCACUAUGUCUCCUCCAUUCUUGUUUAGUUUCCUUGCACAUAGUUCUGGGCCAGUGCACAGACACAUCCCCUAAGUCAGCAUCAGUCAUUCAUCAGCUGAUGUAACAAGUAUGCAGCACCUCCUAUAUGCUGAUGAGGAGAACAGAAAACAUAGGCCUGCUUCCCAUAUUCAUAGAACUUGAAAUUACAUCAGGGAUUCAAGCAUCCAUCAGAUAAAUAACCAAAUGAGUGAACAAUCACAAACCAAACAAGAAAGAAGCAGAAAUUCUUGUAUGAAAGCUGACCUAGGCCCAGGGUGGGGCUAGGCUUGCUUGAGCAAGUGAAGUAUAAACUGAGCUAUGAAGGGUAACUAGGCACUCUGAGGGCCGAAAGGGGAGAAUAUUCCAGGCUAAAGGGAGACUGUGUGCUUAGGCCCUAACAGCAGGCAAAAGAGCAUGACCACAUGAGUGGUCAGUGUGGUUUGAACCCAGAGAGCUGGACUGUGAGAAAACAGGGGCAAGACACCACUGGGUCUUAUCAUCAUGCUUAGGAGUUUUAGAAAUGAGACAUUUCCAAUAUACCACCAAAGGAAAUAGAACUGCAACACACAUAUGGCACAACUCACUUCAGAAGGAAGAUUGACUAGAGAAUGGAAAUUCAUUUUAUGUAGUUUUCCAUGUAAUUACGACAGAUUUACUUUCCUCCUUGUGUGAGGGGGGGAGUCUAAAAAAUUACUAUCUUGCUUGCUUUAAAAGUAUUCUGUUUAGUUCUCAUGUGUUUGAAAUGCUUGGUCGGAAAAUGGAUUAAAACCCACUUACCACCCCUGUGGGAGUCAAAUUGGCCUGGGCAGGCUAUAAAAAUACAGGCUUUAGCAAAAUGGGGUCUCUGUGUUGAUUGCCUGUUAAUCACAGAAGAGAAAGAAAAUUAAAAGAAGUGAGUUAACAUCUUUGCUAAGAAAAUGUCUUUUCUUGAUUGGGAGAUCAUUGUAACAAGAUCGCACGUGAGCAUUUUAUGUAUGUAGCAUGACUGCGGUGUGAAAACCAUCUAUAUUCCCUAGUGACCCACUCUGGACCACUGAUGACUGAGCUUGUAAUGCAAUCAUUCCACUUAGAAGGAUGUGUGGGGAGGAAAUCCUGGCUGAAAAAGUCUGCUUGUGUUAAAGGAUAUUCUCAUUUUAUAGCUUCUACUGAUUCUUUGUGCCGCUAGAGGUCAACAUUUGGUGUCAGAGGCCAUUUUGUUUAUGGCAAUGUCUAACUGUAAAGUUUGCCUCUAGAGUUUGCAUGUGGGGAACAGGCAACAGCUUGACUGUUGUAAUUAAUAAAGUAAAAGACUGGCAACAUUGGGGCAAGGAAUGCCCUUGCAGCUUAUAUUUCCUUUAGGAAAAUGUUUCUGUUAUCUGAAGUAUAUUGUCUACAAUAAACUGGGUUCAUCCAUGGGAGGUAUGUUUUGUUCAAGACCUAUUUUUGCCUCAUCCUAGCAGAGGGUAUCAGAGCGUGAAAGUCCAUCCAUUCCAGACUGUUCCACUGAGGUCCUGCAGCCUCCUGGGGUAGUAUUCAAACUGAGAAAAUCAGACUCAAGGAGACUGUUGUAGAUUAGCAUAUAUCUACGGCUACCCAGGUGGAAAGUGACAGUGAAUCAUAAGAUGAAACCAAACCCUGUAGACUGGGGAAGGGAUUACUUGGAAAGUGGGAGUGAUGGAGAUUCAGACAGUAAAGAAGGGCUCUCUGAGGAUGAGAGGAGAAGGUCGUUCUCAUCUGAAGGUUGAACUGGAGACGGAUUGUUUCCCAGCUCACACAGCUGUUGGCAUCACUUAAUUCCUUCUGGGUUGCUGGACUGAGGGCCUCAGUUUUUUGUGGGCUAUUGGCUGGAGGCUGCCCUCCACUCUUCACUGUGUGGUCCUCUCCAUAUGACAGCAUACAAAAUUGUGGCUUACCUCUUCAAAGCCUGCAGAAAAGAGAGUCUCCUAGCAGGACACAUUAAAAUCUUCUGUAACAAUCACAUCCAUGUAUUCAGACAUCCCAUCACCCCUGCCAUAUUCUAUUGCUUAGAAGCAAGCCCCAUGUCCUACCUACACUCAAGGGGAGGGUCUUAUAUAAGGGCAUGAACACCAGGAAGUGGGGAUCAUGAGAGCCACCCUAGAAUCUGUUUGCCACAGGUAGAAAAGUAUGAGAAACAAAACUUUAAGCUAUUGCUGGCUAUUAGCAUCUUAAGUGUUAGCCGCUAAGUCAUACAUGACUGAGCGAUACAACAGCAACCUGUUCACAGGGGAACAAUGGCACUUAAUGGAUAUGGUCCAGCCAAUUUAUUUUCCCCCUCUUCAAGAAGAAAAAGGUCCACAAUCCCUCUUCUAUCAUUGAGUGCAGUCAGCCUCUUCAGUGUACUGUUAUGUAAAAUCACUGACCUGUGAUGUAAAUUCACUCACAUCCAUAGUAGUAGUCACCCUUUCUACAGUCUGACCAUGAAGUUUCACCUUCUGUUUAUGCCUCAUUUUCUG